CUCAGUUCGGACUGAAGGCUGAAAUUCGCCUUCNCAAGUCGGAAUUGCUAGUAAUGGCAGGUCAGCAUACUGCCGUGAAUACGUUCCCGGGCCUUGUACACACCGCCCGUCACACCAUGAGAGUUAGGAAUACCCGAAGCCUGUGAGCUAACUUUAAUAGAGGCAGCAGUCGAAGGUAGAACUAAUGAUUGGGGUGAAGUCGUAACAAGGUAAC
rnacentral:rRNA from 1 species